rnacentral:tRNA from 1 species
GCUCCGUUAGCUCAGCUGGUAGAGCACCGGACUUUUAAUCCGAUGGUCGGGGGUUCGAGGUCUCCGCUCCGCU